rnacentral:lncRNA from 1 species
CCCCACCAAGGCUAUAGCCCACCCGUUUUUUGGCCAUUUUUCCGCUGGGGGGUCUUGGCGCCCCAACGGAAAGGGGGCUGAUUUUUGGGCGCGGCUGUGCCCGUGGCCUAUUUUUGGCACACGGAGGCCGCCCGCAAAGUCUGGGGCCAUUCCGAGUCCGGCGGACGAACUUCGCCCACGCCCCCCACCAAGGCUAUAGCCCACCCGUUUUUUGGCCAUUUUUCCGCUGGGGGGUGUUGUUACCCCGACCUUCGGGCGCUCAUUUUUGGGCGCGGCUGUGCCCGUGGCCUAUUUUUGGCACACGGAGGCCGCCCGCAAAGUCUGGUGCCAUUCUCAUGUUCCAAAGGAGCUUGGGGGCCUUUUUGAACCCUUAAUUUUACAUUUUUCUCAUGUUUUGAUACAUUUUUUGUACCACGAACUUUUUAAACUAAUUUUUUUUACCCUAAGACGUUUUAAUUUUGAUUCGACCACAAAAAACAACUUAAAUAUCCGAUUACGAUGUGAAAUCAUUAAUUAUUUGUUUUAUUAUUAAUUUACAUUUUACUUUUCCAUUUAAAUAAUAUUUGUGUCCAUAUUUACAACAAUAUAUGAUGGCUCAGCGGUGGGUUUGGAACUUUAUUUGUGAUUUUGACCUCCAUGUAAAGGGUUCAAGCUGCAGCUAAAUCUUUGUAUCUUCUUUUCAAAUAUUAAGGCAACUUCCUGCGCAGGUAGCCUCCACUGAACUGCGGGAAAGGGCAACGGGUAGGGGACAAGCAAUCGGGUUUUUUUGGGGUAGAUUUUAUAUACAGACGCAGAGCAUAGGGAGACGGACUGAGCUGAUAAGCGUCGGACUUGUUUGGAAGGCCUAGAUUUUUUGCAUGGAUGCAGAAAAUGGGAUGGCGGACAUGGAGAACUAAGUUU